rnacentral:rRNA from 1 species
GUCGAGCGGUAGCACAGAGAGCUUGCUCUCGGGUGACAAGCGGCGGACGGGUGAGUAACGCGUAGGAAUCUACCUAAUAGUGGGGGAUAGCCCAGGGAAACUUGGAUUAAUACCGCAUACGCCCUAAGGGGGAAAGCGGGGGAUCUUCGGACCUCGUGCUAUUAGAUGAGCCUGCGUAAGAUUAGCUAGUUGGUGAGGUAAGAGCUCACCAAGGCGACGAUCUUUAGCUGGUCUGAGAGGAUGAUCAGCCACACUGGGACUGAGACACGGCCCAGACUCCUACGGGAGGCAGCAGUGGGGAAUAUUGGACAAUGGGGGCAACCCUGAUCCAGCCAUGCCGCGUGUGUGAAGAAGGCCUUCGGGUUGUAAAGCACUUUCAGAUGUGAGGAAAGGUUGCAGAUUAAUACUCUGUAGCUGUGACGUUAACAUCAGAAGAAGGACCGGCUAACUCCGUGCCAGCAGCCGCGGUAAUACGGAGGGUCCGAGCGUUAAUCGGAAUUACUGGGCGUAAAGAGCUCGUAGGCGGUUUGUCGCGUCUGCUGUGAAAGACCGGGGCUCAACUCCGGUUCUGCAGUGGGUACGGGCAGACUAGAGUGCAGUAGGGGAGACUGGAAUUCCUGGUGUAGCGGUGAAAUGCGCAGAUAUCAGGAGGAACACCGAUGGCGAAGGCAGGUCUCUGGGCUGUAACUGACGCUGAGGAGCGAAAGCAUGGGGAGCGAACAGGAUUAGAUACCCUGGUAGAA